rnacentral:rRNA from 1 species
ACAGAGGGCUCAAGCGUUAAUCGGAAUCACUGGGCUUAAAGGGUCCGCAGGCGGAUUGGAAAGUAUCUUGUGAAAUACCACGGCUCAACCGUGGAACUGCUCGGUAAACUUCCAAUCUUGAACACGGUAGGGGCCAUCGGAACUCUAGGUGGAGCGGUGAAAUGCGUAGAUAUCUAGAGGAACGCCAGAGGCGAAGGCGGAUGGCUGGGCCGUUGUUGACGCUCAGGGACGAAAGCAUGGGAGAAGCGGAAUCGGAUAGACCUACC